rnacentral:rRNA from 1 species
GGACAGAGGCCAUUCUUCAGACCUGUUUCCUCUAUCCAGCGUCAGUGGCGGCAGCGGAUAGCCAUGGCUGAACCUUGUAAUCCAAUCAUCCUCUGUUCCUCUUCCGGCUUUCCUUGCAGCCCCGCGCCGCACCACAGACAGCAGAGCAGCCGGCGGGCGGGGAGAGCUCACCCCACCAGCUGCCGCACCUCUCCUCGGCCCCCGGCCCGCCAGAUCUCAGUUCCCCCGCGAGUAACUUCUCCGGCUCGGCCCGGCCCGGCCUGGCCGCAUGGAGCAAGCCGUUGAUCUGGUCCCACGGAGCUCAAGAGAUUUGGGGGCUACACUGCUCGCCUCAUCCACGCUUACAUCCCCAGGAGUUCUGGAGAAAAAUGUCCUCUGUUGCAAGAUUUAUGAAGUCUGAUUGAUGAAUGUGCAAAUAAAUUGUAUAAUAAUUUUUGCCACCAAUGAGAACAAUAACUUUUAAGAGGAUUGCUUACCGUGAUAGAAAUAUUUGUUCACUGAAUGCACUUGUUUGCCCUUCGUCGAAACACCGUGAUAGACCAAAAUCAGUAAUUUUAGGUACCAUGUGAUCAUCUAAAAGUAUAUUAGCGGGCUUGAGGUCCAAAUGAAGAAUGCACUUCUGAUGAAGAUAAUGUAGCCCCUCACAUAUUCCCC